CCUACGGGAGGCAGCAGUGAGGAAUAUUGGUCAAUGGCCGAGAGGCUGAACCAGCCAAGUCGCGUGAGGGAAGACGGCCCUACGGGUUGUAAACCUCUUUUGUCGGGGAGCAAAGCGAGUCACGUGUGACUCAUUGAGAGUACCCGAAGAAAAAGCAUCGGCUAACUCCGUGCCAGCAGCCGCGGUAAUACGGAGGAUGCGAGCGUUAUCCGGAUUUAUUGGGUUUAACGGGUGCGCAGGCGGAGGUGCAAGUCAGCGGUCAAAUUGCGGGGCUCAACCCCGUACUGCCGUUGAAACUGCAUCCCUUGAGUGCGCGAGAAGUAUGCGGAAUGCGUGGUGUAGCGGUGAAAUGCAUAGAUAGCACGCAGAACUCCGAUUGCGAAGGCAGAAUACCGGCGCGCAACUGACGCUCAUGCACGAAAGCGUGGGGAGCAAACAGGAUUAGAUACCCUGGUAGUC
rnacentral:rRNA from 1 species